rnacentral:rRNA from 1 species
UAGAGAUAGAGUCUUCCCCUUCGGGGGACAAAGUGACAGGUGGUGCAUGGUUGUCGUCAGCUCGUGUCGUGAGAUGUUGGGUUAAGUCCCGCAACGAGCGCAACCCUUAAGCUUAGUUGCCAGCAUUAAGUUGGGCACUCUAAGUUGACUGCCGGUGACAAACCGGAGGAAGGUGGGGAUGACGUCAAAUCAUCAUGCCCCUUAUGAUUUGGGUUACACACGUGCUACAAUGGACAAUACAAAGGGCAGCUAAACCGCGAGGUCAUGCAAAUCCCAUAAAGUUGUUCUCAGUUCGGAUUGUAGUCUGCAACUCGACUACAUGAAGCUGGAAUCGCUAGUAAUCGUAGAUCAGCAUGCUACGGUGAAUACGUUCCCGGGUCUUGUACACACCGCCCGUCACACCACGAGAGUCUGUAACACCCGAAGCCGGUGGAGUAACCAUUUAUGGAGCUAGCCGUCGAAGGUGGGACAAAUGAUUGGGGUGAAGUCGUAACAAGGUAGCCGUAUCGGAAGG